CCUACAUAUGCAGUUAUUCUUUAGACCACAUUCGUUACUACUAUUUUGACACGGUUAAAUUUCACCCCAGUCCUGUAAUCCUGGAUUAGACCAUUCAUUUUCUUAAUGGAAGAAUAAGGCCAUACCUAAACAUAUUAAAAUAUUAUUCACUUUGACAAUGGAACUAGUUCCAAGACAUGAACUAUUGCUAUAUUAGAAACAAGAAGCAAUCAGUAUUUUUCAUUGCCUAAGAAUCUCUAUACUACAAAAAAAUCCAUCACUUCUAAUGAAAUUGACACACAGAAAAUGAAGCCACAUGAACAUCUGAAAGAGAUUAAAAUGGAAUAAAAAGUC